rnacentral:rRNA from 1 species
GACGAACGCUGGCGGCGUGCCUAAUACAUGCAAGUAGAACGCACAGUUUAUACCGUAGCUUGCUACACCAUAAACUGUGAGUUGCGAACGGGUGAGUAACGCGUAGGUAACCUGCCUGGUAGCGGGGGAUAACUAUUGGAAACGAUAGCUAAUACCGCAUAAUAUUGAUUAUUGCAUGAUAAUUGAUUGAAAGAUGCUAUUGCAUCACUACCAGAUGGACCUGCGUUGUAUUAGCUAGUAGGUGAGGUAACGGCUCACCUAGGCGACGAUACAUAGCCGACCUGAGAGGGUGAUCGGCCACACUGGGACUGAGACACGGCCCAGACUCCUACGGGGGGCAGCAGUAGGGAAUCUUCGGCAAUGGACGAAAGUCUGACCGAGGAACGCCGCGUGAGUGAAGAAGGUUUUCGGAUCGUAAAGCUCUGUUGUAAGAGAAGAACGGGUGUGAGAGUGGAAAGUUCACACUGUGACGGUAUCUUACCAGAAAGGGACGGCUAACUACGUG